AGAGUUUGAUCCUGGCUCAGAACGAACGCUGGCGGCGUGCUUAACACAUGCCAAGUCGAACGCGAAAAGUUUUCUUCGGAAGACGAGUAGAGUGGCGCACGGGUGAGUAACGCGUAAGUAAUCUACCCCGGCAUCUGGAAUAACUCACCGAAAGGUGUGCUAAUACCGGAUACGUUGGUAACAAGAAAGGUGGCCUCUGCAUAUGCUACCGUGCUGGGAUGAGCUUGCGUACCAUUAGCUAGUUGGUAGGGUAAAGGCCUACCAAGGCGACGAUGGUUAGCGGGUCUGAGAGGAUGAUCCGCCACACUGGAACUGGAACACGGACCAGACUCCUACGGGAGGCAGCAGUGAGGAAUAUUGCGCAAUUGGGGCAACCCUGACGCAGCGACGCCGCGUGGAUGAUGAAGGCCUUCGGGUCGUAAAAUCCUGUCAGAUGGAAAGAAGUGCAUAGUGGGUUAAUACCCGCUAUGUUUGACGGUACCACCGAAGGAAAGCACCGGCUAACUCCGUGCCGGCCGCCGCGGUAAUA
rnacentral:rRNA from 1 species